GAGCAAACUCAAUCACUAACUGCACUGGUUGCAGAAGUGAGGGGAACCAGGUUUGCUCAAGUGAUGGUGGGACAGAAAUUCUGUAUUAGCCUCAGAAGCUACUGAGGUGUUCCAUUCUAUCCUAGUACAGUG